GCUUCAUGUUUUACUUAUACAAAUAUAUACAUAUGUUCUCGCAUAACUUAUACAAGUAUCAUCGUUGAACUUCACAAAUAUAUAUAGUAUCCAAUUGACAUGUUUAUUUGCUUAAAUCUAGUAGUACUAAUAACUUUCAAGUUACAAAAAUUUGGAGUAAUUAAAGCGAAAAUUUCUUCUGAAACUUGAGUUUUCCAGUGGGUCAAGGUUUGUCUCCUGUACCUUUAAACAUAGAUUCAGGAGCAAGAGGAGUAGGAGUAUCCAACUGGUAAAGGUCAAAUGCAGGACCAACAAAUCGAAAAAGUAUCCAACCCCCAAUUAUAAUAAAAAUAGAAGCAUAAGCAAAUUUGUUUAGCCAGAACAAAAGUCCUUUUUCUCCGACGUACAAUUCGAUUGCCUUCUCAGUUAGAUUCAUUGAUUCCCAAUCCUUUGGUGGAGGUUUAGGUUUAACAGCUUGUUUCCCUGCAUUUAUCAUUUCUUCUUCCUUCUGCCUUUGUCGUUUUGACGGACGUCUUCUGAUUCGAAUCUCCACCGUGUUUGGUUGCGAUUCGUUGCCAUUAUCACUGCUGCUGCUGCUGUUGCAUUUGAUGGGAAAACGAAUUACAUGGCGAUGUUGAGAUUUGGAGAAAAGUUGUACUGGAAGAGGAGUGAAGUGUUUCGGGUAGGUAGAGAGC
rnacentral:misc_RNA from 1 species